rnacentral:rRNA from 1 species
UGGGGAAUUGUUCACAAUGGGCGCAAGCCUGACGACGCAACGCCGCGUGGAGGAUGAAGACUUUCGGGUCGUAAACUCCUUUCGACCGAGAUGAAUUUCCCACGACCUAACACGUCGUGGGAGUGACAGUAUCGAGGGAAGAAGCCCCGGCUAACUCCGUGCCAGCAGCCGCGGUAAUACGGGGGGGGCAAGCGUUGUUCGGAAUUACUGGGCGUAAAGGGUGCGUAGGUGGUUAUUUAAGUCCGUUGUGAAAGCCCUGGGCUCAACCUGGGAACUGCAGUGGAUACUGGAUGACUAGAAUGUGGUAGAGGGUAGCGGAAUUCCUGGUGUAGCAGUGAAAUGCGUAGAGAUCAGGAGGAACAUCCAUGGCGAAGGCAGCUACCUGGACCAACAUUGACACUGAGGCACGAAAGCGUGGGGAGCAAAC